rnacentral:rRNA from 1 species
UGGGGAAUUUUGGACAAUGGGCGAAAGCCUGAUCCAGCAAUGCCGCGUGUGUGAAGAAGGCCUUCGGGUUGUAAAGCACUUUUGUCCGGAAAGAAAUCCUUGGCUCUAAUACAGUCGGGGGAUGACGGUACCGGAAGAAUAAGCACCGGCUAACUACGUGCCAGCAGCCGCGGUAAUACGUAGGGUGCAAGCGUUAAUCGGAAUUACUGGGCGUAAAGCGUGCGCAGGCGGUUUGCUAAGACCGAUGUGAAAUCCCCGGGCUCAACCUGGGAACUGCAUUGGUGACUGGCAGGCUAGAGUAUGGCAGAGGGGGGUAGAAUUCCACGUGUAGCAGUNUAAAGUGCGUAGAGAUGUGGAGGAAUACCGAUGGCGAAGGCAGCCCCCUGGGCCAAUACUGACGCUCAUGCACGAAAAGCGUGGGGAGCAAACAGGAUUAGACUACCCUGGUAGUCCACGCCCUAAACGAUGUCAACUAGUUGUUGGGGAUUCAUUUCCUUAGUAACGUAGCUAACGCGUGAAGUUGACCGCCUGGGGAGUACGGUCG